CAUUAUAUUGGACACUUCAGUACCAAGAGAAAUACAUACGAUCCUUGUCUACCAGGAGUCUAAUAGAAAGAUGGACAGGGCUGGGUCAGUUAGAACCUAAACAAACUAGAGACCUGGUUGCAACCCCUCAGGCUCUGCUGAUGCUGUCCCCCUUUGUUCCUGCAGCGUGGACCCUGCCAGCAGCCAGGCCAUGGAGCUCUCUGAUGUCACCCUCAUUGAGGGUGUGGGUAAUGAGGCGACACAUCCGUCCUCCACCUGGGGCAUGUGGACCACCUGGUGGCAGGCCAAGGCAACCCCGAGCCAACUGAACUCCCCCAUCCAUCAGAGGACAAGCAGGUGCAGGCAGCAGCAGUCCAGAGGCCCCCCUGAGAUCUGAGGAUAGCACCUGCCUCCCUCCCAGCCCUGGCCUCAUCACUGUGCGGCUCAAAUUCCUCAAUGAUACCGAGGAGCUGGCUGUGGCUAGGCCAGAGGAUACCGUGGGUGCCCUGAAGAGCAAAUACUUCCCUGGACAAGAAAGCCAGAUGAAACUGAUCUACCAGGGCCGCC
rnacentral:lncRNA from 10 species